rnacentral:ncRNA from 1 species
AGAUUGGCAAACCUGUCGAAAGACAGGGACGCAAAGCUAUGGUGUCUAAACAUAAGAGAUGUAUGACAGGCCGGCUGCA